rnacentral:rRNA from 1 species
GCUAAGUUUGAUGGCGACCGGCGCACGGGUGAGUAACACGUAUCCAACCUGCCGAUGACUCGGGGAUAGCCUUUCGAAAGAAAGAUUAAUACCCGAUGGCAUAGUUCUUCCGCAUGGUGGAACUAUUAAAGAAUUUCGGUUAUCGAUGGGGAUGCGUUCCAUUAGGCAGUUGGUGGGGUAACGGCCCACCAAACCUUCGAUGGAUAGGGGUUCUGAGAGGAAGGUCCCCCACAUUGGAACUGAGACACGGUCCAAACUCCUACGGGAGGCAGCAUG